ACUCUCUGAUUUCCUUUACAUCAGAUCUGGGUACUAAUCUUGGUGGUGUAAAAGAAGGAAUAGUAGUACUGAGUUUGGCCUCACAGUCUUUAGAGUCUGCCAUAUAACUCAUGGGACAGUUUCUAACAAGG